rnacentral:pre_miRNA from 1 species
AUUCUACUCCCUCCGUUGCACAAUACUACAUGCCUUCUAUUUGUCAAAAUAUAUAUGUAUCUAGACAUGUCUUGGUAUAUAGGUACAUCCAUUUUUGGACAAAUGGAAGUCAAGUAUUUUGGAACGGAGGGAGUACACA